CAACAACUGAAAGGAGGUGAUCCAGUGUCUCAUUGUCAUCAACCGCUGGUGCAAGGCGGUCGGACCUGGGCCUCUUCUUGCUGGGGUUUCUGUUCCGCGUAAGUUUUCGCACCUUUGGCCUGGUUCGCUGGGUCGCGGUUCGACAAUGGAAGGGCUGCCCGCAAGGGCGGCCCU
rnacentral:sRNA from 1 species